GGGCGAUUAGCUCAGCCGGCAGAGCAGCUGACUCUUAAUCAGCGGGUCACAGGUUCGAUUCCUGUAUCGCCCA
rnacentral:tRNA from 1 species